GCUGGGUGUGGUGGCGGGUGCCUGUAAUCCCAGCUACUCAGGAGGCUGAGGCAGAAGAAUUGCUUGAGCCCGGGAGGCAGAGAUUGCAGUGAGCCGAGAUUGGGCCACUGCAUUCCAGCCUGGGCAACAGAGCAAGACUCUGUCUA
ensembl:misc_RNA Metazoa_SRP Metazoan signal recognition particle RNA